rnacentral:lncRNA from 1 species
GUCGAAAUCAGAUCUCUGGCCACAAAAACGAUGGUCUAGGAAAAAAUAAGGAUUAAUUUGAAGAUCAAAGGAUAGGAUUUGAGAACUAGCUUGAAGUUCUUUUCAAAGGCAUAAAGAUUGUUUUUGGAAGGUUUUUGAGGACUUAGCAAUUGUUAUUCAAAGUCAAGGUUUGUAUUGGUGAUUUGGAUUUUAUAUAAUAUAAUUAAGGCUAGCAAUUUUGGCUAGUUCAUGCAAUUGAUGUAACAUCUAUGGUUGAAAAAUUGAAACUGUUUGGAUUAUUAAGUGUACUAAGUAUAUACAAAAAAAUUUGAUAAUCUAACGGCAUAGUUUAGAGAUAUUUGGUUUUUAGCACAAGAGGGUUUCGGAACUUGGUAGUUGAGGUUGGGUAGGAUUUCUAUGAUAUUUGGAGAUCUAUUAGUUGGAUUAAGGUAAAAUUUGGCAUGGUAUUGAAGGACUUAAAGAUCAAGCUGCAUACCAAUUUUGAGUCAAAGUUAACAAUUAAAAAG